AUUGAACGCUGGCGGAAUGCUUUACACAUGCAAGUCGAGCGGCAGCGCGGGGGCAACCCUGGCGGCGAGCGGCGAACGGGUGAGUAACAUAUCGGAACGUACCCUGUCGUGGGGGAUAACUAUCCGAAAGGAUAGCUAAUACCGCAUACGACCUGAGGGUGAAAGCGGGGGACCGCAAGGCCUCGCGCGAUAGGAGCGGCCGAUAUCGGAUUAGCUAGUUGGUGAGGUAAAGGCUCACCAAGGCGACGAUCCGUAGCGGGUCUGAGAGGACGACCCGCCACACUGGAACUGAGACACGGUCCAGACUCCUACGGGAGGCAGCAGUGGGGAAUUUUGGACAAUGGGGGCAACCCUGAUCCAGCCAUUCCGCGUGAGUGAAGAAGGCCUUCGGGUUGUAAAGCUCUUUCAGCAGGAACGAAACGGUGAGGGUUAAUACCCUUUACUAAUGACGGUACCUGAAGAAGAAGCACCGGCUAACUACGUG
rnacentral:rRNA from 1 species